rnacentral:rRNA from 1 species
UACGUAGGGUGCGAGCGUUAAUCGGAAUUACUGGGCGUAAAGCGUGCGCAGGCGGUUUUGCAAGCCGGAUGUGAAAUCCCCGGGCUCAACCUGGGAAUGGCAUUCGGGACUGCAAGGCUGGAGUGCGGCAGAGGAGACUGGAAUUCCUGGUGUAGCAGUGAAAUGCGUAGAUAUCAGGAGGAACACCGGUGGCGAAGGCGAGUCCCUGGACAACUCCUGACACUGAGGCACGAAAGCUAGGGGAGCAAACAGG